rnacentral:rRNA from 1 species
UGGGGAAUAUUGCACAAUGGGCGCAAGCCUGAUGCAGCAACGCCGCGUGAACGAUGAAGGUCUUCGGAUCGUAAAGUUCUGUUGCAGGGGAAGAUAAUGACGGUACCCUGUGAGGAAGCCCCGGCUAACUACGUGCCAGCAGCCGCGGUAAUACGUAGGGGGCUAGCGUUAUCCGGAUUUACUGGGCGUAAAGGGUGCGUAGGUGGUCUUUCAAGUCGGUGGUUAAAGGCUACGGCUCAACCGUAGUUAGCCUCCGAAACUGGAAGACUUGAGUGCAGGAGAGGAAAGUGGAAUUCCUAGUGUAGCGGUGAAAUGCGUAGAUAUUAGGAGGAAUACCUGUGGCGAAGGCGACUUACUGGACACAAAUCUGACGCUGAGGAACGAAAGCGUGGGUAGCAAACAGG